UAUCCGUCGGCGUACAGGACGAACGCUGGCGGCCGUGCUUAACACACUGCGAAGUCGAACGGGGCCGUGCCUGGCUUUGGUUGGGUGGGGUGAGUGGCGAACGGGUGAGUAACACGUGAGUAACCUGCCCUCUUCUCUUGGAUAACUGCUUGAAAGGGCGGCGUAAUACGGGAUGUUCUGGCUGCCUCGCAUGGGUGGUUUGGAAAGAUUCGGCCUGGUUUUUGGUUGUUUUUGGUGGGGGAUGGGCUCGCGGCUUAUCAGCUUGUUGGUGGGGUGAUGGCCUACCAAGGCGGUGACGGGUAGCCGGCCUGAGAGGGUGGACGGUCACACUGGGACUGAGACACGGCCCAGACUCCUGCGGGAGGCAGCAGUGGGGGAUUUUGCACAAUGGGCGCAAGCCUGAUGCAGCGACGCCGCGUGAGGGAUGGAGGCCUUCGGGUUGUGAACCUCUGUCGCCGGUGAUGUAGGCCCUGCUUUGUGGGUGGGGUUGACGGUAGCCGGGGUAUGAAGUGCCGGCUAACUACGUG
rnacentral:rRNA from 1 species